GCCGGUGGCCAUGGCGGAAGGGAAACACCCGGUCCCAUACCGAACCCGGAAGUUAAGCCUUCCAGCGCCGAUGGUACUGCACGCGGGAGCGUGUGGGAGAGUAGGAGACCGCCGGACCAC
rnacentral:rRNA from 1 species